AUAAAAUAUUUUAUUUUAUAUAAUAAUAAUAUAUAUUUUUCUUUUUAAUAUUUAAAGACGUUAUUGUGCAUAUUUCUCGUUUACAAGGAUGUGUGGUGUGAAAAAUGGAGUCUGGAUCUUGUGGUGCAAUUCAAGCACCAUUACAAACUGCAUGUCUUCAAUAAACUACAAAAUAUAAUAUUUUCUCCUUUACAUGGAAAGUGACUAUAUGGGACCUGCGAUAGUUGCCUACUCGCUAUGGAAAAAUGCGAGCUUAUAACCUGCCCAGUGGAUGCUAGAGAAUUCAACUUCUCUGGAAGCUUAGCCAUUCACAUAGUAGGCCUCAAAUCUAUAAUCAGCAUAGCUAAACAUGCAGAUCCUGCAUUGCUAAAAAGUAAUUUUCUAUCAAAAGAGCAAAAAAUAUUUCGGAGAUGGACAAAAGAACCUAGUAAGGCCUAAGACAAACUUAAAAGGCCACUUAGGACGAUUAGUGUGUAGUCAGAGUGGCAUCCUCAUAAUAUCAAACUCCUUUCGACAACUAAAUUAAAUAAAAUUAAUUAAAGGAAACAUUCUUCUGGCAACAUGCCUUCCUCUUGGAGAGAUUUCUUAGUAAAAAAAAACAAGAAAAAGAAUGGGACAAGGUAAAAAAUAGGAAAAAAACACGCCUGGAAAACAAAAUAUUUUCUCCGGGGACGACUGGGAAUGUCUUUCACAUUAAGCGACCGGUCUUGGCGUCCGUUGCCGUCGAGACGCCUUCUAAGUCAAGCAGAAAAUCCUGAAGUUGACACCGUGACAAUUUUCAGUGAUAUUUCCAAUAUAGUUUUUUUCCUUU